UGUGCAAUACCAGAUCAAGCAUUAAAGGGACAUCUGAUCAACCAGGCAAUCUGUCCAAAGCAGCCAAAAGCAUGUCCAAAGCAUCUACAGAUUACGUUGGGGACUUCCUCGCCGAAUUCAAGGAGCAGAUCAUUGUACGAGCAACACGAGUCAGUGACAUCAUAGAGGCGGUCUUGUCCCAAAACCUGAUCCAUGACAGAGCAGCUCGUCAAGUUGAAACAGCUCCUACUGAGCAAGAAGCGAUGAGGCUUCUGUUUGAGGCUCUGGAAAGAGAACCUUCCCAACACAGAGUGUCCUUCCAUCUAAUUCUGAGAAUGACUGAGCCUGAACUUAUUCAAGAGCUGGGUCCUACCCCCACUGUGCUCCGGUUGUUUCCCCGGGGUAUUGGCUCCAGCCUGCCAUCCUCUUAUGGCAGGAUCUGUGAGGGUCCAGAUGUUACAAGACCUGAUCUAAUAAUAACAAGGCUACAGCAAAGACUUAACUUUUCUCCAACCCCCUGACAUCUUACACAUACUGUGCAGCAUCUCACAAUCUUUCAAUGACAUUCUCCUUUCCAUCCUCACCAGCCUUGGAAUCACUGGCUCUGCAUGGCAGUGGUUUGCAUCGUAC
rnacentral:lncRNA from 1 species